rnacentral:ncRNA from 1 species
GUCUAAGUACAUACUGUUUAUAAAGUGAAACCGCGAAUGGCUCAUUAAAUCAGUUACGGUUCCUCGGAUAUUCUUUUUUACAUGGAUAACUGUGGUAAUUCUAGAGCUCAUACAUGAACAAGUGUUCCAACCUCAGCUUGCUGACGGAAGGAUCGCAUUUAUUAGUACAAGACCAAUGAUUCUUAUUCACCUAGAACCCUGGGCAGUGAUUUCGGUCGCUGUCUAAGGACUAGCAGUGGGGAUCUUAGCAACUUCGGUUGCAUUUCUUGUGAUGACUCUGAAUAACUGAGCAAAUCGUAUGGCCUCUGAGCCGACGAUGUAUCCCUCAAGCAACUGCCUUAUCAACUGUCGAUGGUAGGUUAUGCGCCUACCAUGGUUGUAACGGGUAACGGGGAAUUAAGGUUCGAUUCCGAU